rnacentral:rRNA from 1 species
AACGAACGCUGGCGGCAUGCCUAACACAUGCAAGUCGAACGAUACCUUCGGGUCUGGUGGCGCACGGGGGCGUAAGGCGGGGUAACCUGCCCUUAGGUUCGGAAUAACUCCCCGAUAGGGGUGCUAAUACCGGAUAAUGUCUUCGGACCAAAGAUUUAUCGCCGUUGGAUGGGCCCGGGUUGGAUUAGCUAGUUGGUGGGGUAAAAGCCUACCAAGGCGACGAUCCGUAGCUGGUCUGAGAGGAUGUUCAGCCACACUGGGCCUGAGACACGGCCCAGAAUCCUACGGGAGGCAGCAGUGGGGAAUAUUAGACAAUGGGCGCAAGCCUGAUCCAGCAAUGCCGCGUGAGUGAUGAAGGCCUUAGGGUUGUAAAGCUCUUUUACCCGGGAUGAUAAUGACAGUACCGGGAGAAUAAGCACCGGCUAACUACGUG